UAGGGUUCGAAAGUUACACAGCAUCUUCUCAUUAUAUGAACAUGUAUGGACAUACAUACAGUCCAUUGACAGGAGAGAAGAUGACAUUUUCCAAAGCUAUUCAAUUCAAGGCAUUUUUCCAGCCUGAGACAAUCUGUUGAAAGAUGUGAGCAGUUUUACGGUGAGAGUGAUCCCAUCCUUCGCACAUGUUUGCCUCACACCACAAUAUUUCUACUGACAACUGAGUGGGGGAAGGGCAGCUUUGCAAAAUCAACAAAAUUUUUUUGCAAAGUAGAAGAAGGGAAUAGGGGCUUGUUUGUUCACAUGAAAUAUUAGCUCAAGUGCAGGAAGAAGCCAGGAGAGCUGUAAAGAUGAGGUGGGAAUAAAAACCCUUGAUGCAUGCACUACCCACUUGGGAUUAAAACCCAAGUCCAUCCUGGAACCUGAUAUAACCAUUCAUGUUGUAAUCUAAAGCCUUGUCAACGUACUGCAGGUGUGCACCACAUGACCAGGUGGGGGAAAAAAGAUACAAAGCCAACUGGGAAGAGAUGUGUCGGUUUCAUCUUCAUAAUACAUACAUCCCAAGAGAGCCCAAAGAAUUUUGAAGACAUGGAUUAAAAAAAUUGACUCCAGGCUGAUUGCACUUUGGACAGACCUAAAAUGCUUUUCUGAUGUGGAACAGAUGGAAAAAUCACUGAAUUCUAGCGCUGGAAGAGGCUUUAGAGUCAUAAUGUCCAGAUCGUCAUUGACAGUUUCAUCCAUUUGCCUGUGAAUUUCAAGAUUCCAUUGAUUUUUUCUGCCAUUGUAUAAAUGUACAACACUCUACCACACUCCUCAAACUGUUCCGCACAAUAGAAGCAGAUGGGAUAUUGCCAAACUCUUCCUAUGAGGCUACAAUCACUUUGAU
rnacentral:lncRNA from 1 species